rnacentral:rRNA from 1 species
ACGGGAGGCAGCAGUGGGGAAUAUUGGGCAAUGGGGGAAACCCUGACCCAGCAACGCCGCGUGAAGGAAGAAGGCUUUCGGGUUGUAAACUUCUUUUAUCAGGGAAGAUAAUGACGGUACCUGAUGAAUAAGCCACGGCUAACUACGUGCCAGCAGCCGCGGUAAUACGUAUGGUGCAAGCGUUAUCCGGAUUUACUGGGUGUAAAGGGUGCGUAGGUGGCAUGGCAAGUCUGAAGUGAAAUGCGGGGGCUCAACCCCUGAACUGCUUUGGAAACUGUCAAGCUAGAGUGCAGGAGAGGAAAGCGGAAUUCCUAGUGUAGCGGUGAAAUGCGUAGAUAUUAGGAGGAACACCAGUGGCGAAGGCGGCUUUCUGGACUGUAACUGACACUGAGGCACGAAAGCGUGGGGAGCAAACAGGAUUAGAUACCCUGGUA